GACGAACGCUGGCGGCGUGCCUAAUACAUGCAAGUCGAACGCAGUGGGGACGGGUGAGUAACACGUGGGUAACCUCCCAUCAGAGGGGAUAACACUUGGAAACAGGUGCUAAACCGAUACUGAUGGAUGAACCCGCGGUGCAUUAGCUAGUUGGUGAGGUAACGGCUCACCAAGGCAACGAUGCAUAGCCGACGUAGAGCGUGCUCCUCCCCCAGGGGACUGAGAGACGGCCCACACUCCUCCCUCCUUCCUCCUACUCUCUUCUUCUCAUCUUUACGAAAGUCUGACCCAGCAACGCCGCGUGAGUGAAUACUAUUUUCUGAUCUUCACACUCUGUUGUUAGAGAAGCGGUAUCUAACCAGAAAGCCACGGCUAACUACGUGCCAGCAGCCGCGGUAAUUC
rnacentral:rRNA from 1 species